GGGGAUGCGUGGUUUCGACAGGGCAGGCGAACGUAUCGCUGCGCGCCGAGGAACGCCGUUCCUCCUCGUAAAUCCGAACGGCGCCAGGUAACUGGCAACACCUCUUACGCCCUCGCUGCCUAGUCAGUGAGCGUCCUCCCGGUCUCCGCCCCGCGGACCGGGAAGGGCGUCAUUCGCGGGGCUGCGGUCCGCCGAUCGCCCGGUAGGCGGACCAAAGAUCACGGGCUGGCGGGACCGGAAGCGAGCCAGUGCGCGUCCGGGACCGUGAGACAACAAACCGCUGGCUACGCUCGUAGACGCGAUACGGUCAAGGGCCUUGGACGGGGAGUUCGACCCUCCCCCAUCUCCACUC
rnacentral:tmRNA from 1 species